GGGGUUGUAGCGCAAUUGGUUAGAGCAUCGCCCUGUCACGGCGAAGGUUGCGGGUUCGAGUCCCGUCAAUCCCGCCA
rnacentral:tRNA from 1 species